rnacentral:misc_RNA from 1 species
GUUUUGCGUGAUGGAUCCCUGCUCGGGCAGCGACAUCAUAUCAUCCACGUCUCUUCAUUUGUUGGCGCGAGCAUGUCCUCGUCCGGCGUCGGUUUUCCUGUGCUGAGUACCUGUAUURAAGGCAAUACGUCGGUUAAAUUGUCCCAAUGUMGCCUUGUGCUGCYGUCCCUUGCGGGCGAGCAGUGCGGGGUGGCACAUGAAGCGCAMGCCGUUUGUCGCAUCCCGUCAACCCCUAGAAAGGUUAUCCGGGGUGACGAUCUGCGGCUUCAUGCUCGAUCUCAUGGGUACGGAAUAUCAUGUGGGGUAUACGGGGCCUCGGCCUCGAAGAACCACUAAUAAGCGUUCUACGCUUCACGCGGACGACUGUCGGUCCGGCCUCUGGCUCGGGCUCUCGUGGCUCUGGGUUUUGAGCCGUUCCGACGUCGGUGAGGAAUGCUACCU